UUUUAUUAGAAUUAAUUAAUAAUAAAUCCUGCUCAAUGAAAAUUAAAUAGCCGCUUUUGUGCUAAGGUAGCAUAAUAAUUUGUCUUUUAAUUAAAGACUAGAACAAAAGGUUUAACAUCUCAAUUAAUAUUUUAUAAAAAACUUUUUAAAUUAUUUUAAUUGUAAAAAAACAAUUUUUAAAAAGAAAGACGAUAAGACCCUAUCGAACUUUACUUUAGUUUAACUGGGGAAGUUAAUUAAUUAUCAUUUUAAUAUAUAAAAAUAUACAAUUUGACCUAAUACUAUUAACAAUAUAAUUAAGUUACCGUAGGGAUAACAGCGUAAUAAAAUUUCUAAGAUCUUAUUUAAAAUAAAGAUUGCGACCUCGAUGUUGAUUUAAUAACCUAAUUAACGCAAUAGUUAAUUAAGGAAGUCUGUUCGACUUUUAAAAAAUUACA
rnacentral:rRNA from 1 species